ACUUAUAUAGCUCAGUCGGUAAAGCACGAGACUCAAUCUCAGGAUCGUGGGUUGGAGCCCCUCGUUGGGCA